CUGCCUCGCGCUGGUGGCGGGUACAGGAAAAUUGGAACCUUGCGGGAAGAUUCGCGUGGCCCCUGCGCAAGGAUGACACGCGAGCUCGUGAAGCGUUGGAGCUUUUU